rnacentral:rRNA from 1 species
GACAGCAGUAGCCGCGGGAAUACAGAGGGUGCGAGCGUUAAUCGGAUUUACUGGGCGUAAAGCGUGCGUAGGCGGCUUCUUAAGUCGGAUGUGAAAUCCCUGAGCUUAACUUAGGAAUUGCAUUCGAUACUGGGAAGCUAGAGUAUGGGAGAGGAUGGUAGAAUUCCAGGUGUAGCGGUGAAAUGCGUAGAGAUCUGGAGGAAUACCGAUGGCGAAGGCAGCCAUCUGGCCUAAUACUGACGCUGAGGUACGAAAGCAUGGGGAGCAAACAGGAUUAGAUACUCCCGUAGUCCCUGUCUCUUAUAC